UACGGGGGGGGCAAGCGUUGUUCGGAAUUACUGGGCGUAAAGGGUUCGUAGGUGGCUUGCUAAGUCAGACGUGAAAUCCCUCAGCUUAACUGGGGAACUGCGUCUGAUACUGGCGAGCUUGAGUGCAGGAGAGGAACGCAGAAUUCCAGGUGUAGCGGUGAAAUGCGUAGAUAUCUGGAGGAACACCGGUGGCGAAGGCGGCAUCCUGGACCAACACUGACGCUGAGGUGCGAAAGCGUGGGGAGCAAACAGG
rnacentral:rRNA from 1 species